rnacentral:rRNA from 1 species
UACGUAGGGGGCUAGCGUUAUCCGGAAUUACUGGGCGUAAAGGGUGCGUAGGUGGUUUCUUAAGUCAGAGGUGAAAGGCUACGGCUCAACCGUAGUAAGCCUUUGAAACUGGGAAACUUGAGUGCAGGAGAGGAGAGUAGAAUUCCUAGUGUAGCGGUGAAAUGCGUAGAUAUUAGGAGGAACACCAGUUGCGAAGGCGGCUCUCUGGACUGUAACCGACACUGAGGCACGAAAGCGUGGGGAGCAAACAGGAUUAGAUACCCGGGUAGUCCCUGAGCGGGCU